AUGUUCGACAAGUCGCUCUGCAUCAUCGUCGGCAUCCUGAAGGUCCACUCCGGUGAGGAAGUCAUGGGGCCGAUCCCUACCGGCGAGCUCAAGGCCAUCGACCAGAUCGACGCCGCCUUCAGCACUGCAGCCACCACUGCCGACGCUGCCCCGAUAAAGGACAGGUCCACCGUCUUCGACUCUGCCUUCAGCAAGGCCAUCAAGGAGACCACUGGUGAUGCAUACGAGGCCUACAAGUUUGUCCCUGCCCUCGAGUCCACAGUCAAGAAGAGCUACGCCAUUUUUCUUCCCAGGAAUCCCCAGGACAAGCGCACGCUCAUUGAGUCAUUCCUGAGCGACACCAUCGUCUCCAUGGUCGUCCCCGCCCCCGCCAGUCCCAUCGCCGCCGCCGCUGCUGGUGGCUACAAAGUCUGA
rnacentral:rRNA from 1 species